rfam:Apaloderma vittatum contig70319, whole genome shotgun sequence.
GGUCCGAUUAGCUCAGUCAGUUGAGUGUGGCUCUAACAAUGCUAAGGUCGUGGGUGCGAUUCCCGUUCGGUCCC